UACGUAGGGGGCGAGCGUUGUCCGGAAUCAUUGGGCGUAAAGCGCGUGUAGGCGGCUCGAUAAGUCCGGUGUGAAACCUUGGGGCUCAACCCCAAGCCUGCACUGGAUACUGCCGAGCUAGAGUCCGGGAGGGGAGAGCGGAAUUCCUAGUGUAGCGGUGAAAUGCGCAGAUAUCGGGAAGAACACCCGUGGCGAAGGCGGUUCUCUGGGACGGUACUGACGCUGAGACGCGAAAGCGUGGGGAGCGAACAGG
rnacentral:rRNA from 1 species